UACGUAGGGGGCUAGCGUUGUCCGGAAUCAUUGGGCGUAAAGAGCGUGUAGGCGGCCCGGUAAGUCCGCUGUAAAAGUCAAAGGCUCAACCUUUGAAUGUCAGUGGAUACUGCCAGGCUAGAGUCCGGAAGAGGCGAGUGGAACUCCUGGUGUAGCGGUGGAAUGCGCAGAUACCAGGAAGAACACCAACGGCGAAGGCAGCUCGCUGGGACGGUACUGACGCUGAGACGCGAAAGCGUGGGGAGCAAACAGGG
rnacentral:rRNA from 1 species